rnacentral:rRNA from 1 species
ACUCCUACGGGAGGCAGCAGUGGGGAAUCUUCCGCAAUGGGCGAAAGCCUGACGGAGCAACGCCGCGUGAGUGAUGAAGUUCUUCGGAACGUAAAACUCUGUUGUUCACGACGAACGGGGGGACCAGGAAAUGGGUUCCCAGUGACGGUAGUGAACGAGGAAGCCACGGCUAACUCCGUGCCAGCAG